AACAGGAAUUAGAUACCCUGGUAGUCCACGCCGUAAACGAUGUCGACUUGGAGGCUGUUCCCCUGAGGAGUGGCUUCCGGAGCUAACGCGUUAAGUCGACCGCCUGGGGAGUACGGCCGCAAGGUUAAAACUCAAAUGAAUUGACGGGGGCCCGCACAAGCGGUGGAGCAUGUGGUUUAAUUCGAUGCAACGCGAAGAACCUUACCUACUCUUGACAUCCACGGAAUUCGGCAGAGAUGCCUUAGUGCCUUCGGGAACCGUGAGACAGGUGCUGCAUGGCUGUCGUCAGCUCGUGUUGUGAAAUGUUGGGUUAAGUCCCGCAACGAGCGCAACCCUUAUCCUUUGUUGCCAGCGAUUCGGUCGGGAACUCAAAGGAGACUGCCGGUGAUAAACCGGAGGAAGGUGGGGAUGACGUCAAGUCAUCAUGGCCCUUACGAGUAGGGCUACACACGUGCUACAAUGGCGCAUACAAAGAGAAGCGACCUCGCGAGAGCAAGCGGACCUCAUAAAGUGCGUCGUAGUCCGGAUCGGAGUCUGCAACUCGACUCCGUGAAGUCGGAAUCGCUAGUAAUCGUGGAUCAGAAUGCCACGGUGAAUACGUUCCCGGGCCUUGUACACACCGCCCGUCACACCAUGGGAGUGGGUUGCAAAAGAAGUAGGUAGCUUAACCUUCGGGAGGGCGCUUACCACUUUGUGAUUCAUGACUGGGGUGAAGUCGUAACAAGGUAGC
rnacentral:rRNA from 1 species